UACGGAGGGAGCUAGCGUUGUUCGGAAUCAUUGGGCGUAAAGCGCGUGUAGGCGGCUUGGCAAGUCGGUUGUGAAAUCCCGGGGCCCAACCCCGGAACUGCAUUCGAAACUGCCUCGCUAGAGUCCCGGAGAGGAAGGCGGAAUUCCCGGUGUAGAGGUGAAAUUCGUAGAUAUCGGGAGGAACACCAGCGGCGAAGGCGGCCUUCUGGACGGUGACUGACGCUGAGACGCGAAAGCGUGGGGAGCAAACAGG
rnacentral:rRNA from 1 species